rnacentral:rRNA from 1 species
UUGUCUCAAAGAUUAAGCCAUGCAUGUCUCAGUACAAGCCAAAUUAAGGUGAAACCGCGAAAGGCUCAUUAAAUCAGUUAUGGUUCCUUAGAUCGUACCCAUAUUUACUUGGAUAACUGUGGUAAUUCUAGAGCUAAUACAUGCAAACAGAGCUCCGACCGGAGACGGAAGGAGCGCUUUUAUUAGAACAAAACCAAUCGGUGUCGAUUUCGGUCGUCAUCGUACAAUUUGGUGAAUCUGAAUAACUUUGUGCUGAUCGCACGGUCUUGCACCGGCGACGCAUCUUUCAAAUGUCUGCCUUAUCAACUGUCGAUGGUAGGUUCUGCGCCUACCAUGGUUGUAACGGGUAACGGGGAAUCAGGGUUCGAUUCCGGAGAGGGAGCCUGAGAAACGGCUACCACAUCCAAGGAAGGCAGCAGGCGCGCAAAUUACCCACUCCCGGCACGGGGAGGUAGUGACGAAAAAUAACGAUACGGGACUCAUCCGAGGCCCCGUAAUCGGAAUGAGUACACUCUAAACCCUUUAACGAGGAUCAAUUGGAGGG